rnacentral:rRNA from 1 species
UGCCAGCAGCCGCGGUAAUACGGAGGGUGCAAGCGUUAUCCGGAUUUAUUGGGUUUAAAGGGUGCGCAGGCGGAACUUUAAGUCAGUGGUGAAAUCUUGCCGCUUAACGGUAAAAUUGCCAUUGAAACUGAAGUUCGUGAAUACAAUUGAAGUGGGCGGAAUGUGUCAUGUAGCGGUGAAAUGCUUAGAUAUGACACAGAACACCGAUUGCGAAGGCAGCUCACUAAGUUAUUAUUGACGCUGAGGGACGAAAGCGUGGCUAGCGAACAGGAUUAGAUA